CCUCUCCACUUCUCCUCCAAGCCCAUCUAUGUCCCUCUCUAUGGUGGCUCUCCCUACCUUUGUCCUUUUCUUAUGGCGAUCUCUCCUUCCCUUCCUCCCAUUCCUCUUCAUCCAUAUUUUUUCCUCAUCCUCCUCCUCCAAGCUCACCCAUCAUGACCCUUCCUUCUCCUUCCUCUUUCUCUUCAUCCAUUUCUCCUCCUCUUUCUUCAAGCCCACUCAUGACCCCUCCUCCUAUAUGGUAUAUAGCUACCUCCACCUCCAUCCUUCCUUGUUGGUAGUCCUUUUCUCUCCCUCCUCUCCUUCCUUCUUACCCACUUCUCCUUAUCAUCUUG
rnacentral:lncRNA from 1 species